UCUGAGUUCAGAAUUAAUAAGAGAAAGGCAUGCUCAGAAGCGAUGAGCCACCUAAAAACCCUUAGGACCACCUGUCCUGCAUCACACUCCUGAUCAACUCCACCCUCAGGAGAUCCUCUACCAGACUAUACCAGAGAAGUCGAAAGCCUGUGCAGGAAUGCAUAGAAACCUGGAAAACCAGGAGUUUCCAAACUUGGAUAAAAGAAGCAAAAGCAUCAGCUCUUUGGAUGAUGAAGGGUAGCUCCUGAUGUGAGUUCUCAGCUUGCUAUUCCAGCAGCCAUCUCCGUGGCCUCUGUUCCUCUCACACUGCCAGAGAUAGAGAAAGGAGAGACCUGACCUGCACUGCAAUAGUGAAAGGUGCCUUCAACGCCACACCUCACCCAGUUGAACUUCCAAUUUGUGAAAGAAAAGGGCCUAGGGAGUGUUCUGUUGCCACGGCAAAUCAUCAUCCCGCUGCAAAGGUGACUUGAGGGGACAGGGGUAGCAGCAGAGUUUGGCAGUGUCUUCCAACUUUCGCAAAGAUGCAGGAAGGAGUAAAAGAGCUGCGGAAUCUUCUCCUGCAGUUUCACAGAUGUGCCAAGGCCAGGUGUGGGGCAGGCUCCUACAUGGAGGCCUUGAGGGGCUAUGGAAUAGAAUUGUGGAAAUAAAGCCUGCCUUGUGUUGGAAACCCC
rnacentral:lncRNA from 1 species